GAUGAACGCUGGCGGCGUGCCUAAUACAUGCAAGUCGAGCGAACAGACGAGGAUCUUGCUCCUCUGACGUUAGCGGCGGACGGAUGAGUAACACGUGGAUAACCUACCUAUAAGACUGGUAUAACUUCGGGAAACCGGAGCUAAUACCGGAUAAUCUAUUGAACCGCAUGGUUCAAUAGUGAAAUACGGUUUUGCUGGCACUUAUAGAUGGAUCCGCGCCGCAUUAGCUAGUUGGUAAGGUAACGGCUUACCAAGGCAACGAUGCGUAGCCGACCUGAGAGGGUGAUCGGCCACACUGGAACUGAGACACGGUCCAGACUCCUACGGGAGGCAGCAGUAGGGAAUCUGCCGCAAUGGGCGAAAGCUUGACGGAGCAACGCCGAGUGAGUGAUGAAGGUCUUCGGAUCGUAAAACUCUGUUAUUAGGGAAGAACAAAUGUGUAAGUAGCUAUGCACGUCUUGACGGUACCUAAUAAGAAAGCCACGGCUAACUACGUG
rnacentral:rRNA from 1 species